AGGAAAGACAUAUACACGUAUCAUCGGCUGGGAGAUGGUUUUAUAGUGGUUCAUCUUGCACAACCCUAUAUACUUAGUUCAAUAAGGUUGCUGCUCUGGGGCGACCAUAACCAAUUCUACAGUUACAGAAUUGAAUCUUCUCUCAAUAAUCUAGUAUGGGAUAUGGUUAUAGACAAAUCUAAGGAAUUAACACAAUCUUGGCAAUUGCUGAAAUUUAAUCCCAGACCAAUGCUCUACAUUCGUAUUACUGGCACUCGCAGUUCACCCAGCAAUGUCAAAGAUUUUCGUUGUGUAUAUUUGGAGGGUCCUGCUCAAGUAACAUAAGAUUACAACGUCAUUGAAUAAACACC